rnacentral:rRNA from 1 species
ACACUCCUGCGGGAGGCAGCAGUGGGGAAUAUUGGACAAUGGGCGCAAGCCUGAUCCAGCCAUGCCGCGUGAGUGAUGAAGGCCCUAGGGUUGUAAAGCUCUUUCACCGGAGAAGAUAAUGACGGUAUCCGGAGAAGAAGCCCCGGCUAACUUCGUGCCAGCAGCCGCGGUAAUACGAAGGGGGCUAGCGUUGUUCGGAAUUACUGGGCGUAAAGCGCACGUAGGCGGAUCGAUCAGUCAGGGGUGAAAUCCCAGGGCUCAACCCUGGAACUGCCUUUGAUACUGUCGAUCUGGAGUAUGGAAGAGGUGAGUGGAAUUCCGAGUGUAGAGGUGAAAUUCGUAGAUAUUCGGAGGAACACCAGUGGCGAAGGCGGCUCACUGGUCCAUUACUGACGCUGAGGUGCGAAAGCGUGGGGAGCAAACAGGAUUAGAAACCCCAGUAGUCCCAUGAU